ACUCCUACGGGAGGCAGCAGUGGGGAAUAUUGCACAAUGGGCGCAAGCCUGAUGCAGCCAUGCCGCGUGUGUGAAGAAGGCCUCGGGUUGUAAGCACUUUCAGUUGUGAGGAAGGUGGUGUCGUUAAUAGCGGCAUCAUUUUGACGUUUUAGCAACAGAAGAAGCACCGGCUAACUCCGUGCCAGCAGCCGCGGUAAUACGGAGGGUGCGAGCGUUAAUCGGAAUUACUGGGCGUAAAGCGCAUGCAGGUGGUUUGUUAAGUCAGAUGUGAAAGCCCGGGGCUCAACCUCGGAACUGCAUUUGAAACUGGCAGACUAGAGUACUGUAGAGGGGGUAGAAUUUCAGGUGUAGCGGUGAAAUGCGUAGAGAUCUGAA
rnacentral:rRNA from 1 species